rnacentral:tRNA from 1 species
CACUAGAUAACUAAAUUAAAUAAGUAUUGGUCUCUUAAACCACUAAUAGUAAAUAUUACUUCUAAUGA